CGACCGGCGCACGGGUGAGUAACACGUAUAGCAACCUGGCCGUCACAGGUGGAUAACCGGAAGAAAUUCCGACUAAUACAGCAUAACACUCCUGAGGGACAUCCCUUGGGAGUCAAAGGAGGCAACUCCGGUGACGGAUGGGCAUGCGGCGCAUUAGGUAGUUGGUAGGGUAACGGCCUACCAAGCCGACGAUGCGUAGGGGUUCUGAGAGGAAGGUCCCCCACAUUGGAACUGAGACACGGUCCAAACUCCUACGGAAGGCAGCAG
rnacentral:rRNA from 1 species